UUGACAGUUUGGCUUCCCUGUUCUGGGUGGCAAAGCCUGUGGAGUACUCACCUACCUGCUGCAUGAAGGCAGCAUGGAGGGACUGUGGUGGAUUAUCUGCAAAGAUGGCCAAAAUUCUCUCAUCCCUGCAGGCACAUACAAGUUUUGAGAAGAAUGCGAAGAAGAAAGGAAGAGUGAGCCUCUCUUUCCCAUCGUUACCCUCCAUUGUCCUCUUGACACCCUGCUUUCACAGAGAAAGAGUUUGAGACCCUCUCCCAGGAGCCAAGGAGAGGGGAACAGCUGGCUUCACAUCAUCUUUCUAUUCAACAAGAUACAAAAAGCUGAAGCCAGGAUGAUAGAAAAGCAACAAAGAAGACACGGUCCUUACUCAUUUCCCUUCCCACUUCAGAGCAAAUAUGGUGCCUGGUGUUCGAAGGGAGAACUUGUGGGCAGAGCAGGAAGCGUGAGUAUGGUUGAAGGAUCAAAUAUUUGGUUCAGGCAUCAGGGAGCCAGCAAGACUAUGAUGCUGGGAAACACAAGUGAUGUACUGUUGGAUUUAAUCUACUUGGAAAAAACCUAGGAAAACCAAAAUGUCAUCAACUAACACCUGAAAUGCCUCAGCACCAUCUGUCUCCAACAUUAAACAAAACCCACGAGAUUCCAGGAGAAAGAAAAUAGGAAAUUUAAUGAUGAACUUAACCUGAGUAACUUGAUAAAUGUUACCUUUGUGGCUAGCCAUUCACCAGCAAGUCCCUAAAAUGACCUGAAACCUGAAGAGUGUUUCACCCAUGAAAGGGUUUGCUCUCUCUGGGCAUGGCUACCCAGCACAUAUGUUAGUCAACUUUCUUUCCCUUG
rnacentral:lncRNA from 1 species